rnacentral:rRNA from 1 species
UACAGAGGGGGCAAGCGUUGUUCGGAAUUACUGGGCGUAAAGGGCGCGUAGGCGGCCUGCUAAGUCGAACGUGAAAUCCCCGGGCUCAACCCGGGAACUGCGUUCGAGACUGGUGGGCUCGAAUUCGGGAGAGGGAUGCGGAAUUCCAGGUGUAGCGGUGAAAUGCGUAGAUAUCUGGAGGAACACCGGUGGCGAAGGCGGCAUCCUGGACCGACAUUGACGCUGAGGCGCGAAAGCCAGGGGAGCAAACGGG